UGGGGAAUAUUGCACAAUGGGCGCAAGCCUGAUGCAGCCAUGCCGCGUGUAUGAAGAAGGCCUUCGGGUUGUAAAGUACUUUCAGCGGGGAGGAAGGCGAUAAGGCUAAUAACCUUGUCGAUUGACGUUACCCGCAGAAGAAGCACCGGCUAACUCCGUGCCAGCAGCCGCGGCAAUACGGAGGGUGCAAGCGUUAAUCGGAAUUACUGGGCGUAAAGCGCACGCAGGCGGUCUGUCAAGUCGGAUGUGAAAUCCCCGGGCUCAACCUGGGAACUGCAUUCGAAACUGGCAGGCUAGAGUCUUGUAGAGGGGGGUAGAAUUCCAGGUGUAGCGGUGAAAUGCGUAGAGAUCUGGAGGAAUACCGGUGGCGAAGGCGGCCCCCUGGACAAAGACUGACGCUCAGGUGCGAAAGCGUGGGGAGCAAACA
rnacentral:rRNA from 1 species